rnacentral:rRNA from 1 species
CCCCCUACGGGACGCAGCAGUGAGGAAUAUUGGUCAAUGGGCGGGAGCCUGAACCAGCCAAGUCGCGUGAGGGAAGACGGUCCUAUGGAUUGUAAACCUCUUUAGGCGGGGAGCAAUGCCGGGCACGCGUGCCCGGAGGGAGAGUACCCGCAGAAUAAGCAUCGGCUAACUCCGUGCCAGCAGCCGCGGUAAUACGGAGGAUGCGAGCGGUAUCCGGAUUUAUUGGGUUUAAAGGGUGCGCAGGCGGCCUGUUAAGUCAGCGGUAAAAGCCCGGGGCUCAACCCCGGCGAGCCGUUGAAACUGGG